GACAGAGGCCACGAACGUUGUUCGGAAUCACUGGGCAUAAAGCGCACGUAGGCGGCUAGGUCCGUCCGAUGUGAAAGCCCCCGGCUCAACCGGGGAAUGGCAUCGGAUACAGCCUGGCUUGAGGACGGUUGGGGUGAGUGGAACUCCUGGUGGAGCGGUGAGAUGCGUAGAUAUCAGGAGGAACACCGGUGGCGAAAGCGGCUCACUGGACCGUUACUGACGCUGAGGUGCGAAAGCUAGGGGAGCAAACGGG
rnacentral:rRNA from 1 species